GGUCAGAUGGCCGAGCGGUCUAAGGCGCCAGGUUCAGGUACACCUGAAUUCCCGCUUGAAAUCAUUUCAACUUCCUGGUCUCGCAAGAGGCGUGGGUUCGAAUCCCACUCUGAUCA